rnacentral:rRNA from 1 species
UACAGAGGGUGCGAGCGUUAAUCGGAGUUACUGGGCGUAAAGGGCGCGUAGGCGGUUAUAUAAGUGAGAUGUGAAAUCCCUGGGCUUAACCUAGGAACUGCAUCUCAUACUGUAUGACUGGAGUAUUGUAGAGGGUAGUGGAAUUUCCGGUGUAGCGGUGAAAUGCGUAGAGAUCGGAAAGGAACACCAGUGGCGAAGGCGGCUACCUGGACAAAUACUGACGCUGAGGAGCGAAAAGCCAGGGGAGCAAACGGG